AGGGCGAACGCUGGCGGCACGCCUAACACAUGCAAGUCGAGCGAUCGGCUCUGGGGAGCUUGCUCCCUGGAGUACGGAGCGGCGAACGGGUGAGUAACACGUGGAUAAUCUGCCUCGAAGACCGGAAUAACUUCGGGAAACUGGAGCUAAUGCCGGAUACCCUUCCCGGACCGCAUGGCCUGGAAAGGAAAGGAUCCCGCUUCGAGAGGAGUCCGCGGCCUAUCAGGUAGUUGGUGAGGUAACGGCUCACCAAGCCUACGACGGGUAGCCGGCCUGAGAGGGUGAACGGCCACAUCGGGACUGAGACACGGCCCGAACUCCUACGGGAGGCAGCAGUGGGAAUCUUGCACAAUGGGACGAAAGCCUGAUGCAGCGAUGCCGCGUGAGGGAUGGAAGGUCCGUUCGGGUCGUAAACCUCGUUUCAGUCGAGGACGAACGCCGACGGGUUACCGUGGUGACGGUACCUGACGAGGAAGAACGGCCCGGACUAACGUACGU
rnacentral:rRNA from 1 species